GGGACGGUGAGUAGUAUGGUGGUG
rnacentral:snRNA from 1 species